CAGCAGCCGCGGUAAUACGGAGGGUGCAAGCGUUAAUCGGAAUUACUGGGCGUAAAGCGCACGCAGGCGGUUUGUUAAGUCUGCUGUGAAAUCCCCGGGCUCAACCUGGGAAUGGCAGUGGAUACUGGCAAGCUAGAGUGUGUCAGAGGAUGGUGGAAUUCCCGGUGUAGCGGUGAAAUGCGUAGAGAUCGGGAGGAACAUCAGUGGCGAAGGCGGCCAUCUGGGACAACACUGACGCUGAGGCACGAAAGCGUGGGGAGCAAACAGGAUUAGAUACCCGCGUAGUCCCUGUCUCUUAUAC
rnacentral:rRNA from 1 species